ACAUGUUUAAAAACUUAUUCAAAUAAUUCUAUGUACUUAUGGGAAGGAGAAAAUUUAGGGUAAGACUUCCAAAACAAGUGGGUCGUUCAACCAUUCCGUAUCGAUAUAAACAUAUUGAUACAUUGUCGACUAUUGACAUGCCGUCUACAUGAUUUAUACAAUUAGUUUUUCAAUUAUAUAAAUGUCCAUGUCGAUAGAGGUCUAGGUGAAAAUAAAUGAAGAUGGGAUAGCAUCUUAUGGCAACCCAUGUUUAAAUUUUUGUUAUUGGAGCUAACUAAAUUACCCAAAUGCUGGUUUAGCGUGCGCAACUUAAAAUGUUCUAAUAUUAGUUUUUUUUUUUCGAAACUAACAACCCAAGCCUUUUUCUUCUCUUGAAGCCCAUCAAUUAUGACCUUUGUGCAUGUAGAAGGUUCCAAAAAAUUUAAUUAUUAAGUACUCUUUCCGGAUGAUAAAUUUAUCAGCCAGAAAUAUGAUCCGGUACAUAAAGUGUAAUAAUAUAACUAUUUGAAAAUUUGAAGAAAAAAAAAAUAUUCAACCCCCUCAAAUUGAAAAUCGCUUCCGUAAAAUGGUCUGGCAUUUAUAUAACAAUACACCGCAGACAGCCAAUCGGUUAAAUGUGAAUGGCAUUAUGGUCAAAUAAACGAAAAGUUACAGUAUAUAAAAACACCCUGUUAGCGCCCUCCUCCCAGAAGCCCUAAAUCCGCUCGUCUAUCUCUCUCUCAAUCAAAACCAUGGAGGGCCGCCUACUCGGAGUCACCAGAUCCAAUUUCAAGUCCUUCGCCGGACCGAAGAAACUCCGAGGUGAGAUCCGGACUCCUAUCUCUUGCUAUGCUUUUUAACUUUGUUUGUUUUUGUUUUUAGGGUCUUUGAGGAAGAAAAAGAUUAUCUGUAAUUCCGAAUUUGCAGCUUAGUUAAGGUCUCUGCUUUCAAUCUGCAUAUGUUUUUAGGGUUACGGUGCUUGAAUUUAAUUGACAUGAUGCCUAAUUUUUUGUUUUCAUAAUAAUUCCCAUGUAUUAUUGUUUUCUUUGGUUUCAUUUAAUUAUUAAUAGCUCUAGGGAUUCAGAUCAGAAUCAAUUAGGUAUCUCAACUUUGUUUAAUUCCUGGUUACCGAGUAGAAUGUUAAACCAAAUUUUGUAGCUAGGCAAGAUUUUAAUUUCACUAUCAAUUAAGUAUAUUCGCAAUUCUGUUUGAUUAUCCUUGUUACUUUCCUUGUGUAGAAUUAACUCUCAACAAAUUUCUUACUUUACGUAGGAAUUUCAAGUAGCUAUUUAUACAUAUUUUGAUGGGGUGGAACAAUUUGGUUGGACUUAGUUGAUCAUAUUUUAUUAAUCAAUUUGGUUGGACUGAGUUUUUUGUUUAUUCAUUUUUUAUUUUUAGAAUUUGAUGGGAGUAGAACAGCCUUUGUUGCUAUUGUACUCUUUUCUGGAGUUGGUGUGGCUGUAGAAUCGAGGAUUACAUCUCUUCCUCCAUUGACCAAGAGUGAUAUUCAUUCUUCUUUUUUCUUUUUUUUGUAUUGUUUUAUUCCGUUCUAGUGUUUUUUUUGUUACUUUAUUGUUAAUAUCAUUUGUUUUUAUGUUUUUCAGCUUUAUAUCCUCAGCAUAAACUUCACAUUAUUAGAGAUGAUCGUCCUGUUUUAGCAGGAUGGUGCCAUUCUAAUAUUGAGGGGAUGACGCUAAUUGAUCAUUUGAAAAGUAAUGCGAAAAAGAAAAAUCUUAAAAAUAUAGUAAAAACCUGGCAGAGACUAUCUGAGCACUAAGACUGAAAGAUUUAAUGUCUAGUGCUACGGUUGAACGAGGGGUAUGUUACUAAUUUGUUAGAUUUAAUAUUAUGGUAUCUUGAUUCGAUUCACUUUUAUAGUUAUUAAUUUUGCUUUUUUGGUUUAUUUUGGUUGUGCUACGUAGUAGUCCCUAGCUCACAUUAUCAAUCGUUUUUGUGACACUCUGGGGUAUGCAAAUUUUGUGAGCUAGGGGAUCCUACAUAUCACAACCAAAAUAAAUUAAAAAAGCAAAAUUACUAUAAAAGUGAAUCGAAUCAAUCGAAUCAAGAUACCAUAAUAUUAAAUCUAACAAAUUAGUAACGUACCUCUCGUUCAACCGAGGGUUGAUCUCAGAAAUCGAAGAGGCGUUUGCUUUCUCAAAAGUUGGGCUGCUCAAAGACCACGAAGGCCGAUCUCAGAAAUCGAAGAGGCGCUCGCUUUCUCAAAAGCUGGGCUACUCAGAGACCACGAGGGCCGAUCUCAGAAAUCGAAGAGGCACCUACUUUUCCAGCCUUGUCAGCAUCUGUCACACGCACACUCAGCUUUGCGGAAAUUAUGGGCAUUCUGUCGAAGACUUCUGGGGAAGUAGAAAACACAUGAAUCUUACUGUUCAAUCACCCACUUUCCACACGCAACAAUAGCUCAUGGGUACCACAGAUAACUUUGCCAAAAUUGAGUACGUGAAGCUUGCAGCUCCCACUACAUCGUUCUGACCAAGAAGGGUAAAAGAAUAGCAAAGAAACAGCACUAACAAAGUUUAGACCUAUAAAUUUUGAAGGUCUAGCUACCAUAUUAUUACCCACAAGGGUAAAGGAACAGUACCACUGCUGGAUAAUUGGAAAGUCCCUGUGUGUCAACCUCUGUGCUUCGAGGCAAGGUAGACUAGCAAACAUGCCCAACCUUUACUCACAUUCGAGAAAACACUCCCAAUAAGAUUGCUUGCUCCAAAAUCGAAGAGGCACCGUCCUCCGAAUCUCGAGAGCCAGACUCCCAACAUGACUACUUUCUUAAAAAUCGAAGAGAGGGUAAAGGAACAGUACCAUUGCUGGAUAAUUAGAAAGUCCCUGUGUGUCAACCUCUGUGCUUCGUGGCAAGGUAGAAUAGCAAACAUGCCCAACCUUUACUCACAUUCGAGAAAACACUCCCAACAAGAUUGCUUGCUCCAAAAUCGAAGAGGCACCGCCCUCCGAAUCUCGAGAGCCAGACUCCCAACAUGAUUACUUUCUCAAAAAUCGAAGAGACUGCUCCCCGAAUCUUCGAGAGCCAGACCCCCAGCAUGAUUGCUUUCUCAAAAAUCGAUAAGGCAUCGUUCUCCGAAUCAAUCGAAGAGACACUCGCUUUCUCAAAAGCUGGGCUGCUCAGAGACCACGAGGGCCGAUCUCAGAAAUCGAAGAGGCACCUACUUUUCUAGCCUUGUCAGCACCUGUCACACGCACACUCAGCUUUGCAGAAAUUAUGGGCAUUCUGUCGAAAACUUCUGGUGAAGUAGAAAGCACAUGAAUCUUACUGUUCAAUCACCCACUUCCCACACGCAACAAUAGCUCAUGGGUACCACAGAUAACUUUGCCAAAGUUCUCUGCCAAAGUUGAGCACGUGAAGCUUGCAGCUCCCACUACAUCGCUCUGACCAAGAAAGGUAAAAGAAUAGCAAAGAAACAGCACUAACAAAGUUUAGACACAUAAAUUUUGAAGGUCUAGCUACCAUAUUAUUACCCACAAGGGUAAAGGAACAGUACCACUCUGCUGGAUAAUUGGAAAAUCCCUGUGUGUGUCAACCUCUGUGCUUCGUGGCAAGGUAGACUAGCAAACAUGCCCAACCUUUACUCACAUUCGAGAAAAACACUCCCAACAAGAUUGCUUGCUCCAAAAUCGAAGAGGCACCGUCCUCCGAAUCUCGAUCUCGAGAGCCAGACUCCCAACAUGACUACUUUCUCAAAAUCGAAGAGAGGGUAAAGGAACAGUACCAUUGCUGGAUAAUUGGAAAGUCCCUGUGUGUCAAUGUGUCAACCUUUGUGCUUCGUGGCAAGGUAGACUAGCAAACAUGCCCAACCUUUACUCACAUUCGAGACAACACUCCCAACAAGAUUGCUUGCUCCAAAAUCGAAGAGGCACCGCCCUCCAAAUCUCGAGAGCCAGACUCCCAACAUGAUUACUUCCUCAAAAAUCGAAGAGACACUGCUCUCCGAAUCUCGAGAGCCAGACCCCCAGCAUGAUUGCUUUCUCAAAAAUCGAAGAGGGCAUCGUUCUCCGAAUCUCGAGAGCCAGAUACCACAGACCACUUUUUUUCAAAGUGCUCUGACAGAGUUAAAACAUGUGAAACUGCUCCCACUACUGUGCUAUGACCAAGCAGGGUAAAGGAAUAGCAUUACUACUUGUUGUUAGGGAGACUCCUAUAUAUGUCGACCUCCAUCCCCAACGGACAGGCAGACCUGCAAAAAUGCUCAACCCUUCAUCAUAUCUGAGAGGGCACUCCCAACGAAGCCUUUCGAAAUAUUCAGCUUUCUUUCCCCCCGAUAAUACCUCUGCAAACAAGCUAUACUAGAGCAAGAAUAUCUCAUAUCAUCAGGGUUAAAAGCAAGAGUAUCCCAUAUCAUGCUUUUUCCCUGUCUUUUCCUUUGGCCUUGUUUUUUACCUGCAAGACAAUGAGAAAGAGAGCAAUCAGUCAGCACUUGGAAUCAAGCUUCCAGCCAGGAACUGACUGCCUGGAACCCCUUACCUGAUUACUUACCUGACAUUGCUCUCGAGUACUCAUCUUCAACAUCUUAUGUUUCCAGGGAAGAUUCCGCAUCUGCUUGAGGAACAGAUAGGGCAAGUGCGAAGGAUACAAGGAAGCAUGUGGAGACAAGCGUAACAGCACACGUGCCGAUACAUCCAUUACUCUGUCAAAAGCAAAAGUAUCCCAUAUCAGCAGGGUGGAACGUACUCUAGAUUUGAUGGACUUGUUUUGACCCUCAAAUUCUCCAGUCGGCCUUAUACUCUGGAGGAAACCAGAAAACCCUUCAGCUCAGUUCAAGAAUAAGCCUGUGGAAAGUUACUUCUUCAAAAGCAAAAGUAUCUUAUAUCAUCUCUUCUCAUUUUUCUUCUCUUUAUCCUUCAUGCUGCUGCAAGAUGGGGAGAAGGUGAACAAUCAGUCGGAGCUCUGAUUGCUUACCUUGUCUGUCACCUCUUUCAGCAGACCCCCUAGCUCGGCGACUUGGGGGACUCCUACUACAUGGUUUGUAUCGCGCUUGACCAAGCCUGAAACUACAAGUAAGCUUCAAGUGAAAUUGAUACAUUACCUUGUGCAUCUCCACCAAUUAAAGAUACCACCCCUGGAUGGAGGAAGAGUACUUCCAGAGAAGAUGCCACAUCUACCUAUGAGACAGAUAAGGCAAGUCAAGACGACACCACACUCCGAUACUUAGAAGUUUCGUGAUUACGAGAUCAUUCUCCCAUAAUAUUUCCUAAUGUCAUUUGUAAUAAAUCAUUCACUUGUACUUACUAAAGGAGAGCUUGAACCUAUGUACUUGUGUAAACCCUUCACAAUUAAUGAGAACUCUUCUAUUCCGUGGACGUAGCCAAUCUGGGUGAACCACGUACAUCUUGUGUUUGCUUUCCUAUCUCUAUCCAUUUAUAUACUUAUCCACACUAAUGACCGGAGCAAUCUAGCGAAGAUCACAAAAAGCGACCGUUUUCGCUACCUAGGAUCUAUCUUGCAAGAGAACGGAGAAUUAGAUGGAGAUCUCAACCAUAGAAUACGAGCUGGAUGGAUGAAGUGUAAGAGUGCAUCCGGCGUGUUGUGUGACCGUCGUAGGCCACUGAAGCUCAAGGGAAAAUUUUAUAGGACGGCAAUAAGGCCAGCGAUGUUGUAUGGCACAGAAUGUUGGGUGGUGAAGCAUCAACACGUACACAAAAUGGGUGUAGCGGAGAUGAGGAUGCUUCGUGGGAUGUGUGGGCACACGAGAAAUGAUAAGAUUGGGAAUGAGGAUAUCCGAGGUAAAGUAGGAGUAGCCGAAAUUGUAGGAAAGAUGAGAGAAAAUCGGCUCCGGUGAUUUGGACAUGUGCAAAGAAGGCCGACUGACGCUCCGGUUCGAAGAUGUGACUACGGGACAGAGGUUCAGGGCCGAAGGGGUAGAGGAAGACCUAGGAAAACUUUGGAAGAGACUCUAAGAAAAGACUUAGAGUACUUGGAUCUAACGGAGGACAUGACACAAAACCGAGCGCAAUGGCGUUCUAGGAUUCAUAUAGCCGACCCCACUUAGUGGGAAAAGGCUUUGUUGUUGUUAUUGUACCCCUCGUUCAACCGAGCAUACGUAGCACUGGACAUUAAAUCUUUCAGUCUUGGUGCUCAGAUAGUCUCUGCCAAGUUUUACAAUAUUUUAAAGAUUUUUCUUUUUCGCAUUACUUUUCAAAUGAUGAAUUAGCGCCAUCCUCUCAAUAUUAGAAUGACACCAUCCUGCUAAAACAGGAGGAUCAUCUCUAAUAAUGUGAAGUUUAUGUUGAGGAUAUAAAGUUGAAAAACACAAAAACAAACGAUAUUAACAAUAAAGUAACAAAAACACUAGAACUGAAUAAAACAAUACAAAAAAGAAAGAAUAUCACUCUUGGUCAAUGGAGGAAGAUAUGUAAUCCUUGAUUCUACUGCCACACCAACUCCAGAAAAGAGUACAAUAGCAACAAAGGCUGUUCCACUCCCAUCAAAUUCCAAAAAUUGGUUUUAGAAUCUUGCAAGGGCUUAUAAAAUGUUUGGCUACCUCCUCAUAUUACCAAUUGGUUUUAUGUUUGAACCUCAACUUUCUUCAAUAUGAAUUCCAUUACAUGUUUAAGAACUUAUUCAAAUAAUUCUAUGUGCUUAUGGGAAGGAGAAAAUUUAGUGUAAGACUUUCUACACAAGUGGGUCGUCGAACCGUUCAAUAUUGAUAUAAACAUAUUGAUACAUUAUUAUUGACAUGUCGUCUACAUGAUUGAUACUAUUAGUUUUUCAAUUCUAUAAAUGUCGACGUCGAUAAAAGUCUAGAAGAAAAUAAAUGAAGAUGGGAUAGCAUCUUAUCGCAUGGUUAGAUAAGUUACAUGAUCAAUCCUAAAACCCUACCCACAUGCUUUAAGUUAUUCUACUUGGUUGAGAGUCUUGUGACGAAUUCAUACUCCAACACAUGUUUAAAUUUUUGUUAUUGUAGCUAACUAAAUAACCCAAAUGUUAGUUUAGCGAGUGCAACUUAAAAUGUUUUAAUAUUAAUUUUUUCUAAACUAACAACCCAAGCUUUUUUCUUCUCUUGAAGCCCAUCAAUUAUUGUCUUUGUGCAUGUAGAAGGUUCCAAAAAUUUUCAUUGUUAAGUACUUUUUCGGAUGAAUUUUUUUUUCCGUGUGAUAGGAACAUAGUCUAGUAUAUAAAACGUAAUAAUAUUAUUGGGUGAAAAUUUGAAAAAUGAAAAUUUCAACUAGUUAAUAUACCUAACUAUAUCCCUGCAAAUUGAAUAUCGCUUCUUGAGACCUACUCCAACCUUUGGAGUAAAACUUAAAUUUUAGGUUCUAAACUUACCCUAACUUGCUCCAACCACUGGGGCAAAUAUGAGUUAAAACUCAAAACUCAAUUUUGGGGCAAAUUUAGCCCAGGAUUCUCCCUUGGGUUAGUGAGGUUGACUCACCAUAUAUGUAUAUAUUUUGUAGUUUUAGAUUUGUAAAUUCAUUGAAUCUGACGGUUAAUAUCUAAUUUAAUCAAAUCUAACGGUAAAAAAAAUAUCAAACGGUCCAAAUUUAAAUCCAACGGCUAAAGUAAUUAAAAAUAAAAUUUUACGUGUUUCAUAUUCUUUGGUAGUGUUCCAUGGGUUUCAUGAUGUCGGUUUAAUGAUUUUUCAAUAUUUAUCGGAAUCUAAAUAUUUUUUUUAAGUUACUUUAAGAAAAAAAUUAUCCUAAAGUCAUUCUUUAAUAAUAUCGGGCUAAUAUUUUAACCCCUUAAAGGUUGGAGGAGAAAAACUAUUUCUAUGUUAAAAUCUAAAUUUUUUGAGUUAAAAAUUUUAGAUUUUAACCCAAGAAUUAGAGAUGAUCCGAGGAGGAGUGAUCUGGCAUUUAUAUGACAAUGCACCGCAGACAGCCAAUCGGUUAAAUGUGAAGGGCAUUAUGGUCAAAUAAAUGAAAAAGUAUGGUAUAUAAAAACACCUAGUUAGCGCCCUUUUCCCCAGAAGCCUCAAAUUCGCUCGCCUCUCUCUCUCUCAGACCAUCUCCAAUGGUUGGGCUAAAAGCUAAAUAUUUUAGUCUGAAAAAUUUAGCUUUUAGCCUAGAAACAAUUUUCUGCUUCAACCGUUCCGGCCUAGAAAAUAUUUGAGAGCAGCCUCUCCAUAAAUGGGGGUAAGGCUAGCCGACAUUCACCUCUCCCAGACCCUGCGUAAAGCGGGAGCUUGUGCACUGGGUACGACAUUUUUUAACCGUUCCGGCCUAAAAGUUUAGCCCGAUAUUAUUAAAGAAUGAAUUUAGGUUUUUUUUUUUGUUAAAUUAAUUUUAAAAAAAAUAUGUAGACUAUCGUAAAUUAAUUUUAUGAACAUUUUAAUCUAAAAAAGUUUAAAUUCCGAUAAAUAUUGAAAAAUUAUUAAAUUUUUCACAAAGCAAGCCUUCAACUUUCACCAAUCCUUCAACAUUGGGUGAAUUUUGAGUUAAAUAAUUUUUUUUAAAUUAUUUUAGCCGUUGGAUUUAAAUUUGGGCAGUUAGAUCUCUAUUUUUUACCGUUAUAUUUGAUUAUAUUAGAUCUCAAUCGUUGGAUUCAAUAAUAUAUAAAUUUAAAAAAAAAAAAAUUAAAUCUAGGCCAUUGGAUUAACCAACGGCCUGUAGAUCGUGACUGUUGGAUGGAAGUAGCCGUUGGAGGCGCUGCGGAACGUGGCCGACAAGCCCACAUGGGUGGGGCCCUUGCUGUCUGAGGCAUCGCGCGAGUUGGGCGAGUGGGUGGGCUGCGUUUGGCGCACAAACGCCCCUUUUCACUCGGUUUGGUGGAGCCCAAUCCGAUUUUUGGGUUAAAUUUUGGGAGGAAUCUGGCCUUGGUUUAACAUUUAGCAUUUAGUCCAAAUUUUCCCCUUGGGUUGGAUUGGGUUUGGGGGGAAAUUUGGCUUUUAGCCCACCAUUGAAGUUGGUCUCAAUCAAAACCAUGGGGAACCGCCGACUCGAAGUCACCAGAUCCAAUUUCAAGUCCCCCUCCGGACCGAAGAAACUCCGAGGUGAGAUCCGGACUCCUAUCUCUUGCUAUGAUUUUCAAUUUUGUUUGUGUUUGUUUUUAGGGUCUAUGAGGAAGAAGAAGAUUAUCUGUAAUUCCGAAUUUGCAGCUUAAUUAAUUGGGCUCGGUUUUCAAUCUGCAUAUGUUUUUAGGGUUACGGUCCUUGAAUUUAAUUGACGUGAUGCCUAAUUUUUUGUGUUCAUAAUAAUUCCCAUGUAUUAUUAUUUUUUGUUUCAUUUAAUUAUUAAUAGCUCUCGGGAUUCAUGUCAGGAUCAAUUAGGUAUCUCAAUUUUGUUUAAUUUUCCUGGUCACCGAGUAGAAUGUUAAACCAAAUUUUGUAGCUAGACAAGAUUUUGGUUUCACAAUCAAUUAAGUGCAUUCGCAAUUCGCAAUUCUGUUUGAUUUGCCCCGUUACUUGUGUAGAAUUAACUCAACAAAUUUCCUACUUUACGUAGGACUUUCAAGUAGCUAUAUAUAUUUACUAGACCUUUCAAAUUCACAAUCCCAUGUAAAGUUUGCGGAGUGGUUGGCCACUUUAAUGAUGAUUGCCCCUACAUGAUACGUGUUCCAAACAAUGGCCACUGUUAGUAUGGUAUGUGGUUAUUGUCAUAUCAGUGCUGACCAUCAGAACGAUGACUGCCCGCAUAAGAGCAAAAUCAUUGCACGAAAAAACUCCCUUCGGAAGGCCCCUCCUGUAGGUCCUCUCACCUCCUGAUCUUGCUGAUGCUCAGGAUUGGGACGCUGCCGCUGUUGGAUGAUUAUAUCUACUCUUGUCUUGGAAUGUUGCUGUCCUCCGUAUUUUCGUUGGGUUUGAGCACUCUGUAGUCGGUCUGUAUGUACGUAUGUCAUGUAUGUCAUGUAUGUCUUUGAACAAGCACGUUCCGUCCGUCUUCAUUCUAACGUUAGUUGUAUUCUCUAUAUACUUGGAUUUAUUCUACCCAUUCUAAUGGUUAGUUGUACUCUCCAUAUACUUAGAUUUAUUCUGCUGUUGUUAUUUCUGAGUGAAAAACCCCUUUGCGAGGACUGGUGGAUCCAGACUUUUGAUAUUGGGUGGUCCCAACAUUGGAGUUGAACAAUUCGGUCGGAUUGGAAACAUCCGAAAUUAGAGUUGAACUAUUCGGAAUAACAUUGUCCAAACUAAUCGAUAAUAAUUUUCGCGUGUUAUACCGUUUAUACUUCCAAUUUAUACACAUCAAUUAUUAAACAAAACAUUAUAUCAGUUAAUGAAACUAAAGUGUGUCUAUAUAUAAACUAACCAACACAUGAUCAAAUUAAUAUCAAAACAACAUCAAUUACAAUCUAUGAUUAUUAUAAUAUAUUAGGGAUCUAAAAUUUUCAUUCAAUACACAUCAAUUUUCAUAGCAUUUUAUAUUAUUAAUUUGGAUUAAGACUAAAAAAAUUAUUUAAACUUAGAAAUUAGGACAUUAUAAAAAGAAGAAGGAGAAAUUAGGAAAUUAGGUCGUGAUGGAGAGGAGAGAGCGGAGCAGGUGAUGGUGGCUUGGUUGGUAGAAGGAAAAAGGGAAUUGGAAUAGGAGGAAAAAGCACAUUGGGCUUAUUGGGCAUUGGGCAUUAAGGGGUCUGCAAAGAAAAUGAAAGGGGAUUAUAUUUAAAAAAGAGAAUCACGUGGCUAUUAAAAAGAAGUGCACAUGUUUUUUUAAAUGCAUUGGAUCCAAACGAGUCAUUUUAGC
rnacentral:lncRNA from 1 species